UCGGGAAUAUUGCGCAAUGGAGGAAACUCUGACGCAGUGACGCCGCGUGCAGGAAGAAGGUUUUCGGGUUGUAAACUGCUUUAGACAGGGAAGAAACAAGACAGUACCUGUAGAAUAAGCUCCGGCUAACUACGUGCCAGCAGCCGCGGUAAUACGUAGGGAGCAAGCGUUAUCCGGAUUUAUUGGGUGUAAAGGGUGCGUAGACGGGAAUGCAAGUUGGUUGUGAAAUCCCUCGGCUCAACCGAGGAAUUGCAACCAAAACUAUAUUUCUUGAGUGCUGGAGAGGAAAGUGGAAUUCCUAGUGUAGCGGUGAAAUGCGUAGAUAUUAGGAGGAACACCAGUGGCGAAGGCGACUUUCUGGACAGUAACUGACGUUGAGGCACGAAAGUGUGGGGAGCAAACAGGAUUAGAUACCC
rnacentral:rRNA from 1 species